rnacentral:rRNA from 1 species
UACGUAGGGUGCGAGCGUUAAUCGGAAUUACUGGGCGUAAAGCGUGCGCAGGCGGUUUGGUAAGACAGAGGUGAAAUCCCCGGGCUUAACCUGGGAAUGGCCUUUGUGACUGCCCGGCUAGAGUGUGUCAGAGGGGGGUAGAAUUCCACGUGUAGCAGUGAAAUGCGUAGAGAUGUGGAGGAAUACCGAUGGCGAAGGCAGCCCCCUGGGAUAACACUGACGCUCAUGCACGAAAGCGUGGGGAGCAAACAGG